rnacentral:lncRNA from 1 species
GGUUGCAAAGAGUUGGACAUAACUGAGUGACUGAACUGAACUUAGCCUCAUCAAAGCCCCAACUUACCUAUUUGAAUUUUUGCACUGACUGUAUUAUCUAGACAUCUGGUUGCCCUGUGGCUUCACUUUAUGGUAAAUUAGAUCUGAAAAUGCACUGUGGCCCUUCACAAAAAGCAGAUUUUCUUUAUGUACUGUGAUGUCUGAUGCAACGCAUCCUAGAACAAACUGGCUGCUCGCUAGUCUACUGACUAAACAUUUGUCAGGACCUCCAAUCAGGUUGAGAGGCAGCUGUUUGGACUCUGGUGUGUGCAGCUUUGAACUAGGAUUGGAGUUCAGGUUGCCUCCCUCUGAAAGGUGUAGCAGUUAUUGGAUAACUGGCUUUUUUCUUCCUAUGUCCUCUUUGAAAUGUAACAAUAAAAAUAAUUUUUGAAACAUUUACCAGUGUAUCCCAGCGUUUCUCUCCUCCCUCUUUUGCUGUAUGAUGAACUUGAAAAUAUAAAGACAAAUUAUAUCCUGUUGAAAGAGUUGUUUUAUACAGUCUAAUCAUAAAACAGUGGUACUAAAUUAUCUCUAUGUGCGUGUGUGGUGGGGAGAGAGAGAGAACAUAUGGGUACUUAGAUGGGUCUCUGAAAGUACACAUAUAUUUGGAUAAAUUGAGGGAUUUAAGAUGCAUGAAGGAGUGCCUGUUUUAAAAAAUUCUUGGCAAAAAUUAGUAUUUAGUAUUAGAACUAAAUCACAUUAAUUUCAUAAGGGUGAGAUUUUAGGAGCUAUAAAUGGGGUUUUUGGUUAGUGAAAAACUUUUAAAACUCCCAAAUCAAACCUAAAAUUGUUGAUUUUAUUAUUAAAAGAUGUAAGUUUAACUACAACCAAGUGAAAUUUAUUCCAGUUUUGCAAGACUUUGAACAUUUGAAAAUUAAUGAAAUGCACAUCAACAGACUAAAGAAAAAUGACAUGAUCUUAUCAAUAGAUUCAGAAACAGCAUUUGACAAAAGCCAACACCCAUUCAUGACAAAAACUCUCGGUAAACUAGAAAUAGAGAAGAAGUUAAGGAUGUUCUUUCUAACUACUCAUUUUCAACAUCAUACUGUAAAUCCCAGCUAAUGCAGUAAGACAAAAGAUAUACAGGGAAAGAAAAGAUGAAAGACUAACAUUGUUUAGAGAUGACAUGAUUGUAAACAUGUAGGAGAUCCAAAAGAAUUUUUUAAAAAGCAAAAAAAAUUUCUGAUACUAAUAACUGAGUUGAUUAUAGCAAGGUUUCAGGUUAGAAGGUUAAUUUACAAAAGUCAAUUGCUAUCCUUCCAUUUAGUUCACUUCAGUUGCUCAGUUAUGUCCGACUCUUUGCAACCCCGUGGACUGCAGCACGCCAGGCCUC